rnacentral:rRNA from 1 species
GAUAAGGUCCCAAGGGUUGGGCUGUUCGCCCAUUAAAGCGGUACGUGAGCUGGGUUCAGACCGUCGUGAGACAGGUCGGUCUCUAUCCGCUGUGGGCGUUGGGAGUUUGAGAGGCGCUGCCCCUAGUACGAGAGGACCGGGGUGGACGCAGCGCUCGUGAGCCGGUUGUUUCGCCAGAAGCACAGCCGGGUAGCGAACUGCGGAACGGAUAACCGCUGAAAGCAUCUAAGUGGGAAACCGACCUCAAGAUGAGACUCCCCAUCCGAAAGGAGUAAGACCGCUGGUAGACGACCAGUUGGAUAGGCCGGAGGUGGAAGCGUGGCAACACGUGGAGCUGACCGGUACUAAUGGUCGAGGGCUUCU